AUUGAACGCUGGCGGCAUGCUUUACACAUGCAAGUCGGACGAGUGGCGAACGGGUGAGUAAUAUAUCGGAACGUACCUCGUAAUGGGGGAUAACUAAUCGAAAGAUUAGCUAAUACCGCAUAUUAUUCGAGCGGCCGAUAUCUGCUUAGCUCGUGGGUGGGGUAAAGGCCUACAAAGGCGACGAUCAGUAGCGGGUCUGAGAGGAUGAUCCGCGACACUGGGCCGGAGCCACGGCACAGCGUCCGACGGGAGGAAGCAGUGGGGAAUUUGGGACAAUGGGCGUAAGGCUGAUCCAGCAAGGCCGCGUGGCUGAAGAAGGCCUUCGGGUUGUAAAGGACUUUUUUCAGGGAAGCGGUACCUGAAGAAUAAGCACCGGCUAACUACGUGCCAGCAGCCGCGGUAAUUC
rnacentral:rRNA from 1 species